GAUGAAGAACGCAGCGAAAUGCGAUAAGUAAUGUGAAUUGCAGAAUUCAGUGAAUCAUCGAAUCUUUGAACGAACAUUGCGCCCGCCAGUAUUCUGGCGGGCAUGCCUGUUCGAGCGUCAUUACAACCCUCAGGCCCCCGGGCCUGGCGUUGGGGAUCGGCGGAAGCCCCCUGCGGGCACAACGCCGUCCCCCAAAUACAGUGGCGGUCCCGCCGCAGCUUCCAUUGCGUAGUAGCUAACACCUCGCAACUGGAGAGCGGCGCGGCCACGCCGUAAAACACCCAACUUCUGAAUGUUGACCUCGAAUCAGGUAGGAAUACCCGCUGAACUUAAGCAUAUCAAUAAGCGGAGGA
rnacentral:misc_RNA from 1 species